rnacentral:rRNA from 1 species
UACGUAGGACGCAAGCGUUAUCCGGAUUUAUUGGGUUUAAAGGGUGCGUAGGCGGACUUAUAAGUCAGUGGUGAAAGACUGUCGCUCAACGAUAGCAUUGCCAUUGAUACUGUAUGUCUUGAGUACAAUUGAGGUAGGCGGAAUGUGUAGUGUAGCGGUGAAAUGCUUAGAUAUUACACAGAACACCGAUUGCGAAGGCAGCUUACUAAAUUGUUACUGACGCUGAGGCACGAAAGCGUGGGGAUCAAACAGG